rnacentral:tRNA from 1 species
GUAGCUACAGUUUAAUCAGAACAUUAGACUGUGAAUCUAAUAAUAGAAGCUACAACUUCUUACCUACA